AUCUUAAUUGAGUAUCGAAUAAUCGCACACACUUAAAGAGCGACCAAGGACGUAUUGAUCUAAAAUACAUGAGAGAUAACAAUCGUCUCUUUACAAUGAGAGCAUAGCAUACAUUGUAUCUAACAUAUCAGAGCGAAAAACUUAAAAGCCCGCCUGGAGUUACAGGUGACGGGAACAGUAAUAUAUUUGUUUCUGGAUACGAAACAAACAAUAUUCUUUGGAAUCCAAAGUCCUACAGGGAUUGAUUAUGAUAAAGUCAUGGAAAUUCUCGCAGUUUGCAAUGGCAAUGUGUGGUUUCCCGUUUUCGUAGCCUUUGAAAAGAAUGGACAGCCAGUAUAUGAUUCAUGGAGAACCCCAUCGAUGUGUAAUGAACUACCAACCAUACUCAAAAGAACAAACAGAGGAAAACACUUGCGUAACCAUGUCAUUGAUCACUGGACUGAAGCGAAUAUCAACAUGGUUAAAGUUGAACUCUACCAAAAGAGUGAACCGGUAGUUUGGAUGACAUUUAAUGCAAAAAUUCAAAUAACCUGAACUGGUUUUCCAAGAAAAACUUGUAUCAAAGCAGUUUCGUGGAUCUAACACCUUGUAGUACCACGAACUGUUUCUCUGCUGAAGGGCAUUUCGUUAAUAAUGUUCAUUCAAGGAGGUUUUUAUUCAAUGAAAGAUAUAAAGGAUGUCCUAAUGAUUAUGGUUGGUUCUGUGUAGAGGAGGAGGUUUUAAAUCAAUGAAAGUUAUAACAGAUGUCCUAAUGAUUAUGGUUGGUUCUGUAUAGAGGAGGAGGUUUUAUAUCAAUGAAAGAUAUAAUGGAUGUCCUAAUGAUUAUGGUUGGUUCUGUGUAGAGGAGGAGGUUUUAUAUCAAUGAAAGAUAUAAAGGAUGUCCUAAUGAUUAUGGUUGGUUCUGUGUAGAGGAGGAGGUUUUAUAUCAAUGAAAGAUAUAAUGGAUGUCCUAAUGAUUAUGGUUGGUUCUGUGUAGAGGAGGAGGUUUUAUAUCAAUGAAAGAUAUAAUGGAUGUCUUAAUGAUUAUGGUUGGUUCUGUGUAGAGGAGGAGGUUUUAUAUCAAUGAAAGAUAUAAUGGAUGUCCUAAUGAUUAUGGUUGGUUCUGUGUAGAGGAGAAGGUUUUAUAUCAAUGAAAGAUAUAAUGGAUGUCCUAAUGAUUAUGGUUGGUUCUGUGUAGAGGAGGAGGUUUUAUAUCAAUGAAAGAUAUAAUGGAUGUCCUAAUGAUUAUGGUUGGUUCUGUGUAGAGGAGGAGGUUUUAUAUCAAUGAAAGAUAUAACAGAUGUCCUAAUGAUUAUGGUUGGUUCUGUGUAGAGGAGGAGGUUUUAUAUCAAUGAAAGAUAUAACAGAUGUCCUAAUGAUUAUGGUUGGUUCUGUGUAGAGGAGGAGGUUUUAUAUCAAUGAAAGAUAUAAAGGAUGUCCUAAUGAUUAUGGUUGGUUCUGUGUAGAGGAGGAGGUUUUAUAUCAAUGAAAGAUAUAAUGGAUGUCCUAAUGAUUAUGGUUGGUUCUGUGUAGAGGAGGAGGUUUUAUAUCAAUGAAAGAUAUAACAGAUGUCCUAAUGAUUAUGGUUGGUUCUGUGUAGAGGAGGAGGUUUUAUAUCAAUGAAAGAUAUAACAGAUGUUCUAAUGAUUAUGGUUGGUUCUGUGUAGAGGAGGAGGUUUUAUAUCAAUGAAAGAUAUAACGGAUGUUCUAAUGAUUAUAGUUGGUUCUGUGUAGAGGAGGAGGUUUUAUAUCAAUGAAAGAUAUAACGGAUGUUCUAAUGAUUAGGGUUGGUUCUGUGUAGAGGAGGAGGUUUUAUAUCAAUGAAAGAUAUAACGGAUGUUCUAAUGAUUAUGGUUGGUUCUGUGUAGAGGACAAACAUGAUAUAUGUACAUGGGGUCAGUUCAACAAAUAUCCAGUGUGCAUGUACACCAAAAAUGGACGCAAUUGAACAAAAGAUGCUGCUACUGCCGAUACUUUAGUCAUUUCUGUUUCUAUGGACUUUUAAUAGAAAAAAAAUAGGACUAUCAUAAAUAAAAUUGUAUUUCGCAGAAA